GAAAAAAAGUCAUGUCCUUAUUUGCUCCAUAGUUGUCAAUUGGUCAUGUCAAUCUGAUAGGGCACAUGUCAGACAAGUUCUUUGCUUGGAGAAAGAUGAAGAAAAUAUAAGCACAUGUCACACAAGUUCUUUGCUUGGAGAAAGAUGAAGAAAAUAUAAGCAGGUUAAAUGAUAGAAUCAUCUAGCUGCAAGAACUUGUUACUGUUUUAAUUUAUGUCAUUGAUUUUUUUCCUUUCUCUUCAUGGACUGUAUUACCAUAGUAUGAGCUUUUAUCUGUAGGUAUAAACAGUUUGUCUUCUUGUUGAACAAGUAUUGCUAAUUCAAGUUUAAUUGUUACUUAAUUUUCUAACUUGUAUGGUUUUUCUUUUAAUAUUUCAUUCUGGUAACGCAUUCUUUUGUUUAGUUUAGAAGUGAAGGCUUAGGGCAAGUCUUGGAGAAAUAAUAAAGCUCUGCAUCAUGACUUGGUGUUCAGUUGUUGAAGUUGUAGUUGUAGAAACUGUACCUUUGCUCAUAUCCGAAUUACCUCAAUGUUGAGAGCCUUAAUCAUGAGUGAGUAUAGACUAGGAAUUGCUACUGUGAAACUGAAGCCCCUAUGCAUUAUACUCUUGUCUUUGAGAUUAAUGCUUUGUUCUCUUGUAGUGAUACGAGGGAGGAGAUGAUUUGGAGGAGAUGAUUUGAAUGGAUUUGAGUCAAUUUGAGUGGAUUUGAAGAUGAUUUAUUGGAUUUGUGGGUAAUUAAGAGUGUAUUUGAAAAUAAAGUUUGUACGAAUUACUGUAAGAUCUGAUUGAUGUGAUAGAUUUAAAAAAUUAGUUUAAUUAAUAGAAAUUGAAGAUUACCAAAA
rnacentral:lncRNA from 1 species